AUUGACCGCUGGCGGCAGGCCUAACACAUGCAAGUCGAACGAGUGGCGGACGGGUGAGUCAUGUCUGGGAAACUGCCUGAUGGAGGGGGAUAACUACUGGAAAAGGUAGCUAAUACCGCAUACCCUCCUAUGUGCCAAGAUGGGAUUAGCUAGUAGGUGGGGUACUGGCUAACCUAGGCGACGAUCCCUAGCUGGUCUGAGAGGAUGACCAGCCACACUUGAACUGAGACACGGUCCAUACGCCUACGUGAGGCAGCAGUGGGGAAUAUUGCACAAUGGGCGCAAGCCGGAUGCAGCCAUGCCGCGUGUGUGAAGAAGGCCUUCGGGUGGUAAAGCACUUUCAGCGAGGAGGCGUUACUCGCAGAAGAAGCACCGGCUAACUCCGGGCCAGCAGCCGCGGUAAUUC
rnacentral:rRNA from 1 species